rfam:Mesocricetus auratus contig143364, whole genome shotgun sequence.
AAAGGACUUACAUAAACACAAGUUGGAGACAAAUAGAAGAAAAAUUAGAUAAAUACCAGCAGUUCAGCUUGGCUCGU